GCGGACACGGGGAGAACAUGCAAACUCCACACAGAAAGGCCCUCGCCGGCCCCGGGGCUCGAACCCAGGACCUUCUUGCUGUGAGGCGACAGCACUAACCACUACACCACCGUGCCACCACGCAGGUAAUUAUUUCAAAAAAUAAAUUGUAUUAAAAAAACUUUAUUUCAAACUUCAAAAGCAGCAUGCAAAUGUAAUAAAGGUGCGGCACAGACUUGUCACUUAUCUACACCGAGUCGCAUAAAAUACUUUGUUUUGAAAUCGAUAAAAUAAAUCACGAUUCCACCUUCCUUUUGAAUAGUUCUAGACCAAACUUCGUAGCAUCUUUAGUGCUUUUAGGAACAGCAUUUUCUUUCAUUUCUAAUUCUUCCUCACUUACAGUGGCAAAGUGAUUUAGCCGCCAUUUUGCCGAGUCACUUGAGAUGAUUAUCGAGAAAUAGUCUGGAUUUUUUUCUGUCAUCACCUGCAUAUUUAGACUAAACGUUUUAUUUAAAGAAUGCUAACAUUAGCAGCAUUUGGCUAAUCUAGCUCGUGUUAAUUCAUGCAUGUUUCCAGCUACGUUGUUGGAGCAUCUUUGCUAGAUAGCCUUCCAUGUUACGUACUCUAUAAGCCGUAGCAGCACUUGGAUAUGUUUAACACAACAGAGUAUCACCACUGUACACCAAAUAAAAGUGAACUUGAAAGUUUAAUACCGAGCUCUAAUUCUGUAAAGCAUUAAAAAUCUGGGUAGUUGGUCAGAUUCACUCAUGGCUGAUUUUACCUGUACAUGUUUCCACAGGUUGGACAUUAAGCUGUGAAAUGCUGAUUUCUGCAGAUGCGUCACAUCCAUAACAGAAUUUCGUCACAUCCAUAACGCUGACUUUUCCUUCCGAAACUCUGCAUGAAAUACAAAAUAUUUUAAACAAAGAUUUUUUAAUAUUCACCUUGGACCCCUCUAUCAAAUGGAUAUCUCCAUUUCGACAUUAGGUUUACAAUUUCACAGAGUUUGAUAAAAAUGUAGUCACCCAAGAAAAGUGAUACUUUUUCUGUCACGUCCAUAACGCAUCUUUUAUUGCCGUUUUCUGGCAUGCCCUAGGUGUACUAUGGGAAUUGUUCUUGUUCUAUCACUUCUCCAGUAUGGUACAGCCUUAAAAUAUCCAACACCUGUUUAAAUACUGGGAGACAAUAAAACAUGCACUGGGUCAUUUGUUGCCAUUUUGAGUUCAAGUGUCACGUCCAUAACGCUGGAAUUGCUCCUAUGCAAAUGAAGUUUGUGUCCUGAUUUACAACGAGAGGUUGUAAAUCACAUGUUUCACAUGUGCUUUGAAAAUGUACAGUUCUCUCUUGCAAAUAAAAACUGUGGAUUUCUCUUCA